rnacentral:rRNA from 1 species
CCUACGGGUGGCAGCAGUGAGGAAUAUUGGUCAAUGGCCGUGAGCCUGAACCAGCCAAGUAGCGUGAAGGAUGACUGCCCUACGGGUUGUAAACCUCUUUUAUGAAGGAAUAAAGUUAUCCACGUGUGCCUGUUUGCAUGUACCUCAUGAAUAAGGACCGGCUAAUUCCGUGCCAGCAGCCGCGGUAAUACGGAGGGUCCGGGCGUUAUCCGGAUUUAUUGGGUUUAAAGGGAGCGUAGACGGGUUGUUAAGUCAGAUGUGAAAUUUUGCGGCUCAACCAUAAAAGUGCUAUUGGAACUGGAGAUCUUGAGUACGGGGAAGGUAGGCGGAAUUCGUGGUGUAGCGGUGAAAUGCUUAGAUAUCACGAAGAACUCCGAUUGCGAAGGCAGCUUGCCAAACUGCUACUGACGCUGAAGCUCGAAAGUGUGGGUAUCAAACAGGAUUAGAUACCCGGGUAGUC